CUUAAGUUCUGCUUGCACAUACAAAAAACUUUAAAUUUUCAAAUUUAAAACAAACUAUAAAGUGAAAAAAUGGCUUUCAAAAUGUCAGGAUAUUUGGUAUUGAUGGUCGUUGCAGCGAUAGCGCUAACUAACGCUUCUCUGUCGUAUAAAACAUCUCUGAGAAACACUAAUUCGGUCGCCGUUGGUGAAAUCGGUGAAGAAAGGUCAUUGACUUAUUUGAACGAAGCAGAAUUGAAUGGACGAUGCUGCACACUCAGCGGCUGUGAGGAUUUAUGUACCUGUACGGAACUGGUGUGUUAUGCCAAUAGCACACAUUGUUGGUGUUGGUGAACGAACGGUUAAAAGUUGGCAUCACAACUGGCAACGAGCUUUACCAUUUUUUUUACAUUUCUUUAAAAAAAAUCAUUUCUUUGUUUGAUCAAAUAAAAUCUUCAGAUA